rnacentral:lncRNA from 10 species
UGUUUUGUAACCAAUGACACAUCUGUCUCCCCUGUUGGACUGUGAGUUCUUGCAGUCUAGUAAAGAGGGCAGGUAAUUCGAUAAAGGGUUAAAAGCCACUGUAAAUGUAGGAUUAGAGGAAUGUAGGCAGACGGUGAUGGGGACGUGGACAUGGGGCUGAUGGAGCACCCAACUGCCCAGCUGUGGGCUGACAGGAUAGUGUGGGUGGUUGAGGGUUGAGCUGGCUUUUGAAGUGUACAGAGAAUUCGCCAGCCAGAUAAGAGCGGAACGCAUCUGAGAGUGAAAAGAUUAUGCAAAGGCUCAGGCGUAUAAAAGAACCAUGUCACAUUCAGGAACUCUGAGGAGUGAGGAGUAGCAAGAGAGCAGUGGGUACUUGGAGCAAAUACGAUUGGAGACAAGGCUGGUGAGGCAGGCGGGAGAAAGCAGGGCUCAGUGUGCCCUGUACUGGAAUCUGCUCUUGCUCUGGGUUGAAGAUAGCAAGUGCAUCUCUGGGCAACUACUGCAGCUGGCUGUGGGGGACUGAUGCAUACUGUUGAGGCUGAUCUUACUCUGUCUCCUCUCUAUAAUCAAAAUGUGUCUCUGGAAGCUACUUCCCACCAUCCCUUGGCCAUUGGCACCUGGGCUUCUCACCUGUUCUGCUCUCCGCUGUGACUUUAUUGCUGAGAUCUCCACUGUGAGUUACCACCCACAGCACGUACUUCCUUCCAGGAACAAGGCCUUGAAACCG